AGGGGCAUAGUACAGCGGUUAGUAUUCUGGUCUCCAAAACCAGCGACCUAGGUUCGAUUCCUAGUGCCCCUGCCA
rnacentral:tRNA from 1 species